rnacentral:lncRNA from 1 species
AGAAUCUGCAUGAUCUAAUAAUAACACACAGGCUAAUGCUGCCAAUGUUUUCCUUAGCGAAGACACUAUAGCUUGUUAUUUAACCUGUACUUUAAAAUAUUUGCUAUUCAAAUACUUAUUUAUAUUAGCUCUGCCAAAUUGUGGUUUAUCUUCAAGUGUUCGAGGUAGCCAGAGCCGGCAGAUUUCCAUCUAACACAUCAUAUUGCUGCUCGAUUAAUUAUUCAUCAACGGGAUCCUGUGAGCCAGAGUGCAGACCAUGAUGGAUCCAUUUAUCUUGACACUAAUUAGCAGCCUGGAUUGGAGGUUCUCAACAGCCAAACGUGCCCCUUACUACCAACUAUGGGCUUCCAGGUGCUUUUACUCUGUACUACUUCUUUGUUUUGCAUAAACUGUAUGGCCACGUAGACUGCCAAAGUAUCUCCACUUUUUUUUUCAGGAUUACCCCUAAACUGAGCUGUAUUAAGCCAGGCUGUUUUCAACUUAUAUAAGAGUCAACUCAUCCGCAAACCAAACUUGGCCUUUAACUCUUUCAUAAGCUGGUCAAAGAGGUCUCCUACCCACAUGCAGUCAUAGAUGGGACCUGAGAAAUAGGUUUCACCUGCUUGUCUUGGCAUUGCCUGUGCCCAACCUCAGAUGGUCUUUUAUUCUGCCGUGACUGUAAUUUUAGGAUGCGCUGGCUCUCACAGUAAGAAGCAAGGCAGUGAGGAGUGGAUUAAAAGCUAAGUGGGAGAUGUUCAGGAUGUCCCUACAUCCUACCCAGCACAGAGGCAGAGCCCCGGAGGUACAGCAGAACUGGUUGGUGUUCCCAGUAGAUAGCAUCACAAUUAUUCUUCCCCAGUUAACUAACCAGUUAGUAAAAUUUCACUUCCCAGGAGUAGAAACAGUAACUGGGCAGAGGAAAAUCAGCAACGUACUUAAGUAAAAUUCUAUUUUCCCCGUCGGAAAUCCAGUAGGGAACCAAAGCAUUUCUGCUCUAAUAAGCAGGCUGAGGUGGAUCCUCCAGGGCCAGGAGAAGUGCAAUCGGCUAGGAGGAGGGCUUCUGAGGACCAUGAAGGUCGGGGCUGGAGAGCCGGCUCACUCACUGCCUCUUCUAGAGGUCCUGAGUUCAAUUCCCAGCAACCACAUGGUGGCUCAUCACCAUCUUUAAUGAGAUCAAAUAUGUGUCUUCUACUGUGUCUGAAGGCAGCUACCGUGUACAUAUACAUAUACAUAUAUAUAUAUUUAAUAAAUAGCUCUUAAAAAUUAAAAAAAAAAAA